GACGAACGCUGGCGGCGUGCUUAAUACAUGCAAGUCGAGCGAGGCCCAUCCAGUGGCAACACUGGGGAAGGCCGAGCGGCGAACGGGUGAGUAACACGUGAGCAACCUGCCCCGAAGUCUGGAAUAACAUCGGGAAACCGGUGCUAAUACCGGAUUGCCCCACCUGACCGCAUGAUCGGGUGAGGAAAGAUUUAUCGCUUCGGGAGGGGCUCGCGGCCUAUCAGCUAGUGGCGGGGUAACGGCCCACCAAGGCGUCGACGGGUAGCUGGUCUGAGAGGACGACCAGCCACACUGGGACGGAGACACGGCCCAGACUCCUACGGGAGGCAGCAGUAGGGAAUCUUGCGCAAUGGGCGAAAGCCUGACGCAGCAACGCCGCGUGGGGGA
rnacentral:rRNA from 1 species